UCAGGCCUAACACAUGCAAGUCGAACGCAGUAGCAAUACUGAGUGGCAAACGGGUGAGUAUAAUGUGGGAAUCUGCCUUUUGGUUUGGAAUAACACGGGGAAACUUGUGCUAAUACCGAAUAAGCCUUUACGGGGAAAGUUUUAACGCCGAAAGAUGAGCCUGCACUUGAUUAGCUAGUUGGUAAGGUAAAAGCUUACCAAGGCAACGAUCAAUAGCUGUUCUUAGAGGAAGACCAGCCACAUUGGGACUGAGACACGGCCCAGACUCCUACGGGAGGCAGCAGUGGGGAAUCUUGCACAAUGGGGGAAACCCUGAUGCAGCGAUGCCGCGUGAGUGAAGAAGGCCCUUGGGUUGUAAAACUCUUUCGUCGGGGAAGAAAAUGACUGUACCCGAAUAAGAAGGUCCGGCUAACUUCGUGCCAGCAGCCGCGGUAAUACGAAGGGACCUAGCGUAGUUCGGAAUUACUGGGCUUAAAGAGCUCGUAGGUGGUUAAAAAAGUUGAUGGUGAAAUCCCAAGGCUCAACCUUGGAACUGCCAUCAAAACUUUUUAGCUAGAGUGUGAUAGAGGUAAGUGGAAUUUCUAGUGUAGAGGUGAAAUUCGUAGAUAUUAGAAAGAACACCAAAUGCGAAGGCAACUUACUGGGUCACUACUGACACUGAGGAGCGAAAGCAUGGGUAGCGAAGAGGAUUAGAUACCCU
rnacentral:rRNA from 1 species